rnacentral:tRNA from 1 species
GGCUGAGGUUAGGCGAUAAAUUGUAAAUUUAUUUACGGAUAAAAAUUCUUCUACUAAUAGUAGAAU